rnacentral:lncRNA from 1 species
AAAAGCUGCUCCUUGAAGUGAUGGGAUGAGUCAUCAAAAACAAGGUAAAUUAUAUUUACGUUCUCUUUUAAUGAAAUUAUAGUGUAAAAUGCAUUGCUGAUCGAUACCACUAAAAGAAUUAAUGUUUCUUGUGAAAACUUAGUGUUUAAUAGUGGAUUGCUUAAAAUUUCAGAGACAUAUUUUGUUAACUAUAAUGUCCACAUAAUUAUACCCACCUUGUGGGGGUUGUGGUAGGUUGUAAAUAAGGUAAUAACAUAAAUGUGCCUCAUACCUGGCUUGGCACAUAAAAUGUUAGCUAGUUAAUUUCUGCUUUAAAAGCAUUUUGCCUUAUUUAUUUAGAAAAUUCGUUUCUGGGGUAGCCGGGGUGGCUCAGCGGUUUAGCGCUGCCUUCAGCCCAGGGCCUGAUCCUCAGGAUCCCUGCAUGGAGCCUGCUUCUCCCUCUGCCUGUGUCUCUGCUUCUCUCUCUCUCUCUCUCUCUCUCUCUCUGCAUCUCUCAUGAGUAAAUAAAUAAAAUCUUAAAAAAAAAAGAAAAAGAAAAUUCAUUUCUCAUCAAUUUACCACAGUGAAAGUUAAAUUAUUAGUUAUUUCUUUUUUCAUUCUUUUUUGUUAAACCACCAGAUUGUUAAAUGAAAAGGAUUAACAUAUGUUUUAGUCUGUUAUACAGUAAGUUGUUACCUUAUCAUAGAGGUUCUCUGAAAAUUCACAAUUCUUUUUAGAAUUGAAGAACACCACAUGGUACUAACAUGGAGCAAGACCCAUUUCUUUUUCAUGAAUACAAGGUGGCUUCUCUUUCUGUAGAACUGGAAGUGAGGAGUGCCUCGGGGAGAGGCCUCGCUGGCACCUCAGUGCUGCUGAAGAUCUGCACACACAGCUCUGGGUGGUGUCAAAGCCCCCAUCUGGGCACACGGUGCGGAUACAUCAUCUGCUUCUCUGCCCGGUCCGGAUACAAACGUGUGGCAUCUGGUACACACAUGUCAGCUUUUCUUCUGGAAAAGGAAGGAAAACCUGUGGGGAGUGACAAGGAGUGUGUGUUUGUAUGUGUGUGUGGAAGCUGAUGAAACAAAAUUCUCGUCAGUCUUUCUGGACUUUUUAAAAUUUGCAUCUAAAUGCUCUUGCCUUUCCUUCUGAUAUCAUCUUGGUAAUGGAUACCUCUCACUUCUUCAAAUAUGGUGCUUUGCUAUUACUCUUAUUCCAAGGGUUUCCACUCAUUGCUAAGUGGAGUGCACACUGCAGUUGGAUUCCAUUCCCACGGAAGGAAAAUGGGCUUCAGAAUCUCACACACACACACACACACACACACACACACACACACACACAGGCCCAGAUCCUGAGCCUGCCCCGUUACCACUCAGUCAGUGACACGUACUGAGUGCCCCUGUGUCAGGCACUGAAAUACCUGGUUAUGCAAGUCCAUCCUCCCGACAGUUAGACUGUAAUGAGCAUAACAGACAGCAUCUGAGUACAUACACCCUGAGGUGUGGAGUCAAGGGCCGUAAAGAAA